rnacentral:rRNA from 1 species
UACGAAGGGGGCUAGCGUUGCUCGGAAUCACUGGGCGUAAAGCACACGUAGGCGGAUUGCUAAGUCAGGGGUGAAAUCCUGGAGCUCAACUCCAGAACUGCCUUUGAUACUGGCGAUCUUGAGUCCGGGAGAGGUGAGUGGAACUGCGAGUGUAGAGGUGAAAUUCGUAGAUAUUCGCAAGAACACCAGUGGCGAAGGCGGCUCACUGGCCCGGUACUGACGCUGAGGUGCGAAAGCGUGGGGAGCAAACAGG